GUAUGUCUGACAUUGUGCAUUAUGCUAUAAUGCAGGUGUAUGUCAUCAUACAACUGACACACCGCAGCUCCCAGCAGCCCCAGCAACUGCUCAAGAGCUCAGGAGCAGGACACAUGACCAGUCAGGUGGUGAGACCAGUGACAGUUGGGAGAAAGUGUUGGUUGGUGAGAGCUGAGCUGAGGUAAUCUUGAGAGGAGAGCUAUGCCAUCAAGUGUGUGCUGAGGUGGCGUGGGGGUGACGGAGGAGAUGGAGGCAGACCUUCCUACCACAAUGGUGGUCAGAGAGAUGGCUUUACCCCCAUGCAAGGCAAGUCUGGGGGUGCAGAUGUAAUAAGAGUGACCGCAGCAGCUUCCAUAGCGGCAGUGGGUGGAGUUUUAUCUGGAGCCCUGGCAGUUAGUAAUGCCUCAGAGUGGACCAGGCCUCCCCAAUUAAGGCAAGAGGUCGGCGGCAGUAACAAAGGAAUAGUCCGUGGGAGCAGAUUGUCCGGAAAGAUACCCAGUAUCCCACACUGACAGCUACGGACAGCAUGGAGACCUAACACAGACACUUGGAGAGGGCGAACACAACGGCAAGCUGCUGCUGCUGCUGGGAGCCCACACCAGGCCCCUUCUCAGGCCCCCUCCCCCUCUCCAGCCCACUCCCCCUCUCCAGCCCACACCCCCUCUCCGGACCACUCCCCCUCUCCAGCCACCUCACCCUCUCCGGCCCACACCCCCUCUCCGGACCACUCCCCCUCUCCAGCCACCUCACCCUCUCCGGCCCACACCCCCUCUCCGGACCACUCCCCCUCUCCAGCCACCUCACCCUCUCCAGCCCACACCCCCUCUCCGCCCACCUCACCCUCUCCGGCCCAAUCCCACUCUCUUUCCCAAUCCCCCUCUCCAGCCCAAUCCCACUCUCUUUCCCAAUCCCCCUCUCCAGCCCAAUCCCACUCUCUUUCCCAAUUCCCCUCUCCAGCCCAAUCCCACUCUCUCUCCCAAUUCCCCUCUCUGCCCCCUCCCCCUCUGUGUCCCAAAAAACCACUCCACCACCCUCACCCUAUCAUUCACAAACCCCCUCUGUAAGGACCUCCCCCUUCCAUACUCUUACACAAUUAGACCCUCCUUCCCCCAUCCUGCCUCCUUCCCCCAUCCAGCACCCAUCCCCCAUCCAGCCAACCUCACCCAUCCAGCCUCCAUCCCACAGCCAGCCACCUUCGCGACCAUGUGAAUGGGCAGCAGAGGCCCCGGAGCCACUUGAGGGAGGUGGGCAAGUGGCAGAGGAGAAUGCUGCAGUUGGAGAUCCCAACAGUUUUCCGGCAAUUUUCCUGCGCAUAAAAGGCCAUUUGAGGGCAGUAAUUGCCGAUAUAGAGGCAAUGGAGACAUUUUUUUAUUUUUUUAUUUUUUAUUGGGUUAACAGUUUUAUAUCUGAAAAACAAAAAACAAAACAAAACAAAAUAAAUACAAAAAUUGAUUAAGUUAA